UGGAUCAAAGCCAGUUGAUUAGGGUAUUUAGCUGUUAACUAAAUUUUUAUGGGUUUGAGUCCCAUUGGUCUAG
rnacentral:tRNA from 20 species